rnacentral:tRNA from 1 species
AUUUAUAUAAUAUAUUUAUUAUACUUGAUUUCCAAUCAAAAAAAUUAGAAAUUUCUAAUAUAAAUA